AGCAGUCGCCACGGUAAUACGAAGGGUGCAAGCGUUAAUCGGAAUUACUGGGCGUAAAGCGCGCGUAGGUGGUUUGGUAAGAUGGAUGUGAAAUCCCCGGGCUCAACCUGGGAACUGCAUCCAUAACUGCCUGACUAGAGUACGGUAGAGGGUGGUGGAAUUUCCUGUGUAGCGGUGAAAUGCGUAGAUAUAGGAAGGAACACCAGUGGCGAAGGCGACCACCUGGACUGAUACUGACGCUGAGGUACGAAAGCAUGGGGAGCAAACAGGAUUAGAUACCCCGGUAGUCCCUGUCUCUUAUAC
rnacentral:rRNA from 1 species